rnacentral:rRNA from 1 species
UUCGCAAUGCCCGAAAGGGUGACGAUGCGACGCCGCGUGAGCGAAGAAGGCCCUAGGGUUGUAAAGCUCUGUCGAGGGUUAUGAAAUAUAGAUGGGUUAAUACCCCAUUUAUUUGACAAAGGCCCAAAAGGAAGCCACGGCUAACUCUGUGCCAGCAGCCGCUGUAAUACAGAGGUGGCGAGCGUUGUUCGGUAUUAUUGGGCGUAAAGAGCACGUAGGUGGUUUUGUAAGUCAGGUGUGAAAGCCUUCUGUUCAAAGGAAGAACGGCAUCUGAAACUGCAGAUCUUGAGUGUAGGAGGGGAGAGUGGAACUUCUGGUGGAGCGGUGAAAUGCGUAGAUAUCAGAAGGAACGUCGGCGGCGAAAGCGACUCUCUGGCCUAUUACUGACACUGAGGUGCGAAAGUUAGGGGAGCAAACGGGAUUAGAUACCCCGGUAGUCCUAACCGUAAACGAUGGGCACUAAGUAGAGGGGUUUU